rnacentral:rRNA from 1 species
GAUGAGUUGUGUUUAGGGGUGAAAGGCCAAUCAAACCGGGAAAUAGCUGGUUCUCCGCGAAAUCUAUUUAGGUAGAGCGUCGACCGAAUACCCCAGGGGGUAGAGCACUGGAUGGGCUAGGGGGAUUUACCAUCUUACCAAACCUAACCAAACUCCGAAUACCCAAGAGUACUAUCCGGGAGACAGACGGCGGGUGCUAAGGUCCGUCGUCAAAAGGGAAACAGCCCUGACCUACAGCUAAGGUCCCCAAGUCACGUCUAAGUGGGAAAGCAUGUGGGAAUCCCAAAACAACCAGGAGGUUGGCUUAGAAGCAGCCAUCCUUUAAAGAAAGCGUAACAGCUCACUGGUCUAAAUAAGGGUUCCUGCGCCGACAAUGUAACGGGGCUCAAGCCAUGUGCCGAAGCUGCGGAUGUGAUCGCAAGAUCACGUGGUAGCGGAGCGUUCCCUAGGCCUGCGAAGGGCGACUCGUGAGAGCGCCUGGAGGUAUGGGAAGUGCGAAUGCUGACAUGAGUAACGACAAACAGUGUGAGAGACACUGUCGCCGAAAGUCCAAGGGUUCCUGCGUAAAGCUAAUCUGCGCAGGGUUAGUCGGCCCCUAAGGCGAGGCUGAAAAGCGUAGUCGAUGGGAAGCAGGUAAAUAUUCCUGCACCAGCUGGAAGUGACGGAUGGCUUAACUCGUACCCACUUAUUGGAUUGUGUGUGCGGGGGCGUUGUCCCAGGAAAUAACUCCAGCAGAGACCGUACCCGAAACCGACACAGGUGGUCAGGUAGAGCAUACCAAGGCGUUUGAGAGAACUAUGCUGAAGGAACUCGGCAAAUUGCACGCGUAACUUCGGAAUAAGCGUGACUCAC